rnacentral:rRNA from 1 species
CUACGGGCCGCACCAGUGGGGAAUAUUGCACAAUGGACGAAAGUCUGAUGCAGCAACGCCGCGUGGAGGAUGACACAUUUCGGUGCGUAAACUCCUUUUAUAUAGGAAGAUAAUGACGGUACUAUAUGAAUAAGCACCGGCUAACUCCGUGCCAGCAGCCGCGGUAAUACGGAGGGUGCAAGCGUUACUCGGAAUUACUGGGCGUAAAGCGCGUGUAGGCGGGUUUGUAAGUUGGAUGUGAAAUCCUAUGGCUCAACCAUAGAACUGCAUCCAAAACUGCUUACCUAGAGUAUGGGAGAGGUAGAUGGAACUUCUGGUGUAGGGGUAAAAUCCGUAGAGAUCAGAAGGAAUACCGAUUGCGAAGGCGAUCUACUGGAACAUUAUUGACGCUGAGGCGCGAAAGCGUGGGGAGCAAACAGGAUUAGAUACCCUAGUAGUC